AUUCAAUUGAUGAGUCUCAAAUAAGACGAAACAUGUGUGUCUUAGAU
rnacentral:hammerhead_ribozyme from 1 species